UGCCCUAGUAACGGCGAGUGAAGCGGCAACAGCUCAAAUUUGAAAUCUGGCUUCGGCCCGAGUUGUAAUUUGUAGAGGAUGCUUUGGGCGCGGCUCUAACUGAGUUCCCUGGAACGGGACGCCACAGAGGGUGAGAGCCCCGUAUAGUUAGAUGCCUAGCCUAUGUAAAGCUCCUUCGACGAGUCGAGUAGUUUGGGAAUGCUGCUCUAAAUGGGAGGUAAAUUUCUUCUAAAGCUAAAUAUUGGCCAGAGACCGAUAGCGCACAAGUAGAGUGAUCGAAAGAUGAAAAGCACUUUGAAAAGAGGGUUAAAUAGCACGUGAAAUUGUUGAAAGGGAAGCGCUUGUGACCAGACUUGCGCCGGGCAGAUCAUCCGGUGUUCUCACCGGUGCACUCUGCCCGGCUCAGGCCAGCAUCGGUUCUCGUGGGGGGAUAAAGGUCCCGGGAACGUAGCUCCUCCGGGAGUGUUAUAGCCCGGGGCGUAAUGCCCUCGUGGGGACCGAGGUUCGCGCAUCUGCAAGGAUGCUGGCGUAAUGGUCAUCAGCGACCCGUCUUGAAACACGGACCAAGGAGUCAAGGUUUUGCGCGAGUGUUUGGGUGUAAAACCCGCACGCGUAAUGAAAGUGAACGUAGGUGAGAGCUUCGGCGCAUCAUCGACCGAUCCUGAUGUAUUCGGAUGGAUUUGAGUAAGAGCGUUAAGCCUUGGACCCGAAAGAUGGUGAACUAUGCUUGGAUAGGGUGAAGCCAGAGGAAACUCUGGUGGAGGCUCGCAGCGGUUCUGACGUGCAAAUCGAUCGUCAAAUCUGAGCAUGGGGGCGAAAGACUAAUCGAACCAU
rnacentral:rRNA from 1 species